rnacentral:rRNA from 1 species
UCGAGAAUCUUUCACAAUGGGGGCAACCCUGAUGGAGCGACGCCGCGUGGAGGAUAAGGUCUUCGGAUUGUAAACUCCUGUCAUGCGCGAACAAGGUUGCAUGGUUAAUAACUGUGCAAAUUGAUGGUAGCGCAAGAGGAAGAGACGGCUAACUCUGUGCCAGCAGCCGCGGUAAUACAGAGGUCUCAAGCGUUGUUCGGAAUCACUGGGCGUAAAGGGUGCGUAGGUGGCAUGGUAAGUCAGAUGUGAAAGCCCAGGGCUCAACCUUGGAAUUGCAUCCGAUACUGCUGUGCUAGAGUACUGGAGGGGUGACUAGAAUUCUCGGUGUAGCAGUGAAAUGCGUAGAUAUCGAGAGGAAUACCAAAGGCGUAGGCAGGUCACUGGACAGUUACUGACACUGAGGCACGAAGGCCAGGGGAGCAAACG